ACGGGUGAGUAAUGUCUGGGGAUCUGCCCGAUAGAGGGGGAUAACCACUGGAAACGGUGGCUAAUACCGCAUAACGUCGCAAGACCAAAGAGGGGGACCUUCGGGCCUCUCACUAUCGGAUGAACCCAGAUGGGAUUAGCUAGUAGGCGGGGUAAUGGCCCACCUAGGCGACGAUCCCUAGCUGGUCUGAGAGGAUGACCAGCCACACUGGAACUGAGACACGGUCCAGACUCCUACGGGAGGCAGCAGUGGGGAAUAUUGCACAAUGGGCGCAAGCCUGAUGCAGCCAUGCCGCGUGUAUGAAGAAGGCCUUCGGGUUGUAAAGUACUUUCAGCGGGGAGGAAGGCGGUGAGGUUAAUAACCUUACCGAUUGACGUUACCCGCAGAAGAAGCACCGGCUAACUCCGUGCCAGCAGCCGCGGUAAUACGGAGGGUGCAAGCGUUAAUCGGAAUUACUGGGCGUAAAGCGCACGCAGGCGGUCUGUUAAGUCAGAUGUGAAAUCCCCGGGCUUAACCUGGGAACUGCAUUUGAAACUGGCAGGCUUGAGUCUUGUAGAGGGGGGUAGAAUUCCAGGUGU
rnacentral:rRNA from 1 species